GACGGAGGAUGCAAGUGUUAUCCGGAAUUACUGGGCGUAAAGCGUGCGCAGGCGGUUUUGUAAGUCUGUCGUGAAAUCCCCGGGCUCAACCUGGGAAUGGCGAUGGAGACUGCAAGGCUGGAAUCUGGCAGAGGGGGGUAGAAUUCCACGUGUAGCAGUGAAAUGCGUAGAUAUGUGGAGGAACACCGAUGGCGAAGGCAGCCCCCUGGGCUAAGAUUGACGCUCAUGCACGAAAGCGUGGGGAGCAAACAGG
rnacentral:rRNA from 1 species